AUUGGUGACGCGCCCACGCGCGAGUGCGCGGUGCUCGCUUCCGCCGCUAUGGCCCCGGUUCCGCUCCGGACUCUGAGCCGGGUUGAGUGCUCUGUGACCCGGGCCCGGCUCCUACAGAUCCAGCUCCCGCACGGGGAGCUCCAGACCCCGGUUUUUAUGCCGGUCGGAACCCAGGGAACCCUCAAAGGCAUCGCCGUCCCACAGCUCGAGGCCCUCGGCUGCCGGAUCCUCCUCGGAAACACGUACCACCUGGGGACUCGCCCGGGGCCAGAACUUAUUUCAAAGGCCAAUGGACUGCACGGUUUUAUGAACUGGAAGAGGGCACUCCUAACAGACAGUGGUGGGUUUCAGAUGGUGUCUUUGGUGGAAUUGGCUGAAGUAACAGAAGAAGGGGUACGAUUCUGUUCUCCUUACGAUGGGAAGCAAAUUCUUCUGUCACCUGAAAAAUCAAUUGAAAUACAGAAUGCUCUUGGUUCAGACAUCAUGAUGCAGUUGGAUGACGUAGUGAGCAGCACAGUGUCUGGGCCGAGAGUUGAAGAGGCCAUGUACAGGUCUGUUCGCUGGUUGGAUCGCUGCAUUGCAGCAAACAAGAACCCUCAGCAACAGAAUCUGUUUGCUAUUAUUCAGGGCGGCCUGGAUGCUGAACUGCGUAAGAAAUGUCUGAUAGAGAUGAUUAAGCGUGAUGUCUCUGGAUUUGCCAUUGGUGGACUUAGUGGUGGGGAAGAGAAGGAUCAUUUCUGGAGAAUGGUGACACUCAGUACAGAAUAUCUCCCACGAGAGAAGCCACGUUACCUGAUGGGAGUGGGAUAUGCAACAGAUCUCGUGGUGUGUGUGGCUUUGGGUUGUGACAUGUUUGACUGUGUGUUUCCCACACGGACAGCGCGAUUUGGGUCUGCACUUGUUCCUUGGGGAUCCCUGCAACUGAAAAACAGGCAAUAUGCCAAGGAUUUCAAACCCAUCGAUGAGGAUUGUGACUGUCCUACAUGUAAGAGGUACACUCGAGCAUAUCUACAUGCCCUGUUCAGGAGUGACACUGCUGCCCUCCAUCACAUCACCAUCCACAACAUUGCCUACCAGUUGAACCUGAUGUACUCAAUCCGUGAGAGUAUUCAGCAAGGACGAUUUCCAGUCUUCAUUCAGCAGUUCAUGAAGCGGAUGUAUGGGAGUAAAGAGGAAUACCCACGCUGGGCUGUUGAAGCACUCAGCACGGUCAAUGUUCAACUGGAAUAGAGGGUCUGGGACACCUAUUGCUGAAUGAAGAUGCUGUGAUCUUGUAGAAGUCUCCUCCCCAAUCUCGUCAAAAGGAGGUUGAUGGGGAAACAGUUUCUCCAGAGCUGCCAGCGCAGCAUGUGCUUUAGCUACUUUCUUAUUAGAGCCUGAACCAGUGAAUUUCUGGCCAUCAACUUCAACCUGGAAGAUCACAGAUAAUGGCCGUCUCAGGAAUUGAUUGCAGCAGCAAAAUUCCAAACCAAGAAGCUUGAAAAUACCAAGCAAAGUUUACACAUAGAGACUGUCACACAAACAAGGAUUGUGUGACUGUAGAAUUCUCUGCCACAGAAGGAGAUGGAGACAAGACCAUUAAAUAUCUUGAAGGCCAAAGGAGAUUGAUUCUUGAUUAGCAAAGGCAUCAGAAGUUAUCGGGGUAGGUGGGAAUGUGGAAUUUGGAACACAAGCAGAUCAAUCUUUGAUGAAGCAGCAGAAAACGGUUGGGCCUAAGACACUACUCUGAAGAACUCCUGUAAUAACAUCCUGGAGCUAAGACGAUAGUCCUCCAACAACCGAUUAGGCCAUUUUUCUUUUCUCUCAGAAGAUGUGGAGGCAUUUCUUGCUCUUCCUGCAAAGCUGGCGGAAGCACAGUCCUCAACAUUUUUAAGUGGAUAGAUUCUUGUUAAGCAUACAAAAGAAAGAUAGAUUAAUCGGGGUAGGCAGGAAUUCAGAUUUGAGAUUUAAUCAGAUCAGGCAUCAUCUUACUGAAUGGCAGAGCAAGCAUGAGUGUCUGAAUAGCCUACUCCUGCUCCUAAUUUGUAUGAGUCCUUCCCUCGCAUGUGAUGUCCUCAUCCACUGAAUGAAAUAAAAGCAAAGACAAAAUACACUGCAGAAACUCAGCAAGACACUUCUGACAGUACUUUCUGGACUAGUGAACUUUACCACCUAGAACCACAAGACCCAUGCGAGCCCUACAACCUCCAAAUUGCAAUCCAAGUGAGGUUGAAUUCAUGCAUCUUAAUAGCAUCAUAGAUGGAUGUAUAUUAUAUGUUAUGCAGGGAUUUAAAAAUUAGGAAUACUUGAAAUAAGAAUGGAAAAACUAAUCUCAGUUUCUUUCUCAGGCCUAAGUGAAGCCUGCAUCGGUCAAAGAGCCAGUGCUCAACAUCACUAAACUCAACAGAAAUUAGGGACGGUGGUCUGACCAGCAAACUGCACAACCCAUGAAUGAAUUAAGAAAGAAACAUUAACAUCAAAAACACCAAAUUACAAUUACAGAGUUCAGCUGAAGAAAAGUGCUGAUGCACAGAAGCCAGCAACUAGAAAGCCUCACACUACAGGUUCAAUAAUGAGGAUAAUAAACUAAAAACAAAGAAACAAGUUCACAUACCCAUCCUUUAAGUGGUGCCCAGGUGGGAACUCUUGAACAUAAAUCCCGUAGAACACGGAUGACAAUGACACAUGACUUCAGCCCAUUUGCCCUGGCCUAUAAAACCAUUGAGCAGAAAGUUAGUAUCUCAAUUAGUGACCUGAAAGUAAAAUCAGCAAAAAAGGGCAAAGUUUCAAAUCUGCAGUGCUACUUUGUCAAGGGUAAGAAAGUCUUUACAUUUAUAACAAAAGCUACAUAUCAAUCUAGUAUUUUCAAAGUGAGCAAAAUUACUCUUAACACAAAGCAGCAACAAUGCAAUAAUACACAAAAUAAAUUAACAUUAAAUCCCUGAAGCCCCCCUCCCCAACAUGAAGAACUGCCAGCUUACUAAGAUUACACUCAUUUACUUAAGUGCUUAUUAGCAGCUGCGCAGAGACAGAAGCUAAGUGUUGCACACAAAUUUACAAUUCCAAUAUCAAUUCAACACGCAAUUUAAAAACUGAACAGAAUCAAUAAUUUUAAUAAAAACAUUCUACUUUAGACAAUAAUGUAAGAACAAGAUCCAAACCUGGAACCAUUUGGCGUGUCGCAGGGACGCCAAGGCGGUUAGGCAUUUCUGCCUGUCCAAUACAUCCGCAGGCUCACUCAUCGUUACUGUUUCUAUUGAUGGAGUGGAAUAAGAAGACAGGCAGUUUGACCAAGGGGUUUCUGUCAUGCGGCGGGGAGCGGCAGCAUCCUAUUGGGCAAACAGGGCUCCUCACCAAAGUCAAGUUGUAGUGAGCACUCUCAAAUCUCUAAUGAAUCUACUUUGUCUUGUAACUAAACAGAGAGAACACUAGUCUAUACCUGAACACCAAAUGAAUAGACAGAGCCUGAAGGAGUGUACGCUAGUGUUUGCACUAUUGCGUAUGUGAUAUGUAUCAGUUUUAUUUGCUAAACUAUAUGAGCUGUGGCAUAAAUGCAUUGCACUGGUGGUCAUGUGGAGAACAGUGUUGUAUUGGUUAUAAAGAAAGAUAUUACCUCACAUUGCAAUGUGUUUAAUUAACUAGGCUAGGAAUCAAGAGAAAGGAAACUAUCAAGUAGGCUUAGGGCUCUGUCCGGGGGAAACCCCCUCUGCCCACGAGGGUCGACUGCCCAGGCCCCCAUGACAGAGAGCGUCCAGUUGGUCAAAGGUCCAGCGUCCCUAAAAGAAUUGACAAACUAGAAGGCUUGGUAGACGUGAUCAAAUAGUAAAUCCACAGGCAAUAUCAAAAAGAUCAAAAACACCAUUAAUAAUUUUAUAUACAGUGGGAAACUGUUAAACAGACUGAGUCUGCACAAAGCAGUUGUGCAUGCUUAAGCUGUUGCUUGUUCAGAUUAAGACCAAUACCUCAGGUUUAACUAGUAUGUGCACAGGCUUUCAGUAUCAAAUGAGAUAUAGCUCCAUUACUAAACUGCUCAGUCUCCCACUGCAUAUUCAAAACUUGGUGGCGUCUGCACUGCAGCAAAACUGAAUGGUCUGGCGGCCCCAUUACUGACCAGAAUUUCAAACUAAUUAGUUGAGACAUCUAUGGCAAACUGAUGAGCCCAAAAGCCAUCAAUAAAUUGACAACAUAUUACCCAGGCAAAUAGGAAUACGGUGCUAAUAGUUCUGGAGAUUUACCAAACAGAAAAUUGUUGAAAACUGGCCAGACCGACUAAAGCCUCAGACCAGCUUGGUAACUAUAGUGAACUGAGCCUCAAAAAUCAGGCAACUUGUGGAUAAUGCUCAAAAUAUGCCCUGAGUUAAGCUGUCUGUCAAGAAGCAGCUGAUUUCAAUACAUAAUAUAGAAGGGAAAUGAGUCAGUAGCAUAUAGCAUAUUUAAAUCGUUGGCUUAUGCAACCCUUGGCAAUUCUCUAGAAUUUGUAAGUAGAACAACCCAUUGCUGAAGUGGAAUUUAAGCUAUGAAACAGGUUUAUUAGAUGGUAAAGAUAAUUGUAGCAAAGGAAAAUAUAAUAGUCUGCAAAUAAACUUUCCGAAUGAGAGCUUCUAACUAAGCUUUCCUGUGGAUAUAUAGAUAUUACAGCAAGACCAAUAUCUUGACACAAGCUUUGUGUGUGGAAUCCUGAGCUACAAUCUUUAAUUGAAUUGCACGAUAGCAGGAUUACAAGAAUGCGUAAACUGUGAAGUAUGCAGUUUGGAUUAUAAACCACGUGCCUGUAAAACUGAAAGUUCAGUUACCAGAGACAUUAAAAGCUUUGCCUGCAUGUGAAACAAAUUUAUGCUCUGUGAUGGCCUCCUGAACGCAUUGCAAAGAAGUUUCAACCUUUUCCAUGCACAAAGUAUGACUGUUUCAAAAUCUCAGGUUAAAAUAAGGGCUUGAUCGCAAAGUAAGAGUUUAUUUAUAAAUAGCACUUUUAAAAGUACUCAUUCAAGGAGAGGCCUGUCAGGGGUUUUGGAGGAGUAAGCAAUUGACCUCUCAUGCCAAAUUGGUCAAAGUUCAGUGCUUUAGGCCAUUCCUCACAAGGAACUGCUGUUUAGUUUGCCAAAACCCUUUCACUUUGGAUGAGAGCAUCAAAUCUGUUGAAUCCAAGUCAAGAAGCUGAACGCCCAGAUUUUAAGUGACCCAGCUCCUGGAAUACUCUGGUAACGCAAUAACUACAUACUAAGCAGUAGUGUUUCCUCCAGUUUGCAAAAGGACUGGAAGAAUAGAAAAAAAAUGACUGGUCAUAUCUCAGACAUAAUAAAAAUAGAAGUUAGCUAUGAUUCACAGCGCAGUGAAUCUCCAUUAUUUGAAAAAGGAUCCAAGGUCUAAUGAUAAUUAUCAGCCAAGAGCCUGUGAGCAUUUUCAGCCUUCAACCUCAUUUACUUUUCAUUAAGUGCUGAAUCUUGGCCUUCGUGUCCAUUUCUGUCACCUAGAAAAGUCUCACAUAGUGAUCCAAGUUUCUGAAUAUAUCUAAGCAGCAGUCUCAUGGAUGAAAAAUGCUCACACUGUGAAGGGAAAAUGGGAUACCUCAACCGAGCGUGGUCACUGAUUUGAAACUCCACACAGUGUAAAGAUCACUUGACGUGUCACAAAACCAAUAGCUCAAAAUGGAUAAAAAUGUAUUUAAAUCAGACCAUGAAGAGCCAAACUUUAUCUAAAAAUCUGCCAGCUAUGCACCAGGUGGUCUUUUUCCAAAGGAAGCUAAGUAACAUUUGAAAAAGGCCUUGAAAAUGGUCAUUUUUGCUGCAAUGCAAACUUACUUGCAUAUAAACCAGUGGCUUUGAACAACUUGAACACAUGCAUGGUCAAGGACAAUUCUCAACUUAGCUUUAAUGCUUCUAGGGUAUUUGUUUAGAAGCCUGGAGUCAUUUUAUUACAGCUAGAUUUAAAGUAGCACGAACAUUUACCGUGUAUUGGACCACCAAAAGGCUACAAUUGCAAAGAUAACAUGUCAAGCAGUUCCAGGAUAUAAAGCUGCAGUAUACUACAGACCAUGGCUGCCAUAUAGAGCUAUAUGAAGAUAUACCAGUAACAGAAUACCAUUUUAAUGGGAUAAAUGUAAAGAUGAUCUCUAAUGACAAUAGCCUAAUGUCUAUGAAUCUUAAUACAAGAUAGGAUAUUUUCAGGAUGUAAAACAGAAGGAUUGGUAUCCUCUCCAAUCAAUGUGGCAGAACUAGGCCAUUCACCCCAAAAGAUUUAUCAAUGAAUAGUGAGGCAUUGCUAUUCAUUCAAGACUAUUCUACUGCAACAUCUUUUGCAAUGCAAUUUCAUGGAGCUAAAAGAAAAACUCACCAACAGUAAUUCCUCAUUUAGCUCACCUUUUAAAGUGUUCCUGCGCAAUGGGAAAUGAAAGUAUGCUAACUGAUAAUAAAAAGAAACCCAGUACAAUAACAUAAUAAGUUGAGUUGUGUUGCUGAUCUGGCUGCUUUUUGUGCUAACAUAACAAUCACUCCAAAGUGAAGAGUAGGAAAUGGUAGAUAGUCCGUGUCUCUCCCUCAACACCAACUGCAACACCAAUUCAGAGGUGGUGACAAAGAAACACCAAGUCUUAAGUCCCAUUGUCUUUACCAGAUCAUUCACAAUUGAGCCCCAGAAAGGCUGUAAGCCUGGCACGUACCUAGUAAACGUCCCAAACAGAAGGACAGGAACAGAAAGAUUCAGUCCCACCGGCAGAGUUCUGGAAACAGACUCUGUCUUGUCAGGAGAACCCAGAAAUAAUAACAGCAGGCCUUUGAGGCUUACCAACUGCACUAAACGAAGUACUAGAUCAUGGCUGGUAGGGUAAUUUGAAAGUCUUCAUCAAUAUGAAAGGCAGUCUAAAAUGAAACCCAUUUAAUGGAGUGUAUUAAAUGGGGGAUCACUGUAUGAUCCAGCUCCAUACUUAGCUCUGCACCAAAAGAAUUAAAAUCCCCUCCACCCUAAAUGUCUACUGGAAAUAUGUUCAUUAUAUCAAACUUUAUACUCCGUAACAAAUCUCAAGAUACUCAUGUAUUUAUUGGUUUUAAAUCCUGCCUCCGUGAAUCAAACUACGUUCCAAAGUUCUUCUAAAAGGACAGUAUUUCAUGUAGAGGUGCCAGUGCACAACUAACCUUCACCCAAAAAUAAACUGACAAUACUAGUGCUGUCAAAUUCAAUAUUUCUCUUUUAAAAAUAAAUCACACUGGGUAAAAUAAAUUAAGCAUCUCUUUUG